ensembl:lncRNA
ACUCACACCAAGCAUGGGUAGUUUGUCUACACCCAGAAGACAGGUCCCUCCCAUCCAGUCAGCUCUCUGCAACCAUCUGGAGCCUAUGAAAUCCUCUCUUUUGAACACAAAUAGUACUGGAUCAGGAAAAAUUCACGUAAAAGAAGCUCUUCCCACCAAAUAUUCCCACAUUCCUGUCAUGACAUCUGUGGAGAUGAAGAAGAAUAAAAAUGGAACAGCCCUUCUCUCUAUAAACUUCACUACCUCAGAACCAUCUCAGGCUUGGCUACUCAUGAAAGGUUCAUAUGGCCCGUGAGAGCAGCUGACAGCUCUCAAGGGGCUGUCUUGGCCGGAGAGAAUAGACUUGCUGUGUGUGGUGUGUGGCCACAAAGAGCACCUGGAUGGGCACUGUAACUCAGGAGAGAGCAUAUCUUUUUUGUCGUGGGAGCUCUCCCACCUUGGACCAGUCACCUGCAGAAUGGUAUACUCCACACCAGUCCAAGAUGUUGGCAUGGACCAGUCUUGGACAAAGGGGAACUGGAUGAACUUCCAACUUCUCCCACCAAAGAUCUAAGACACUCCAUGCUCACUGUUCAGUCUUUGAAGAGGAGAAGUUGGCCUGCAUGCUGACCAUGUAAAAGUGUGUUUAAUUGCUCCAUGCACACACAUUACCUCCUGGCCUUGCCUCUGGCAUUGUCUUACCAAAGAGACAUUGGCUGACCCAGCUUUAUUGAAUAAAACACAUUCC